CCCUUAGAUGUUCUGGGCCGCACGCGUGCUACACUGAGUGGAUCAGCGGGUCAGGUUGCGCGAAAGUGUUUCCUAAUCUUUAAAUCCGCUCGUGAUGGGGAUUGACGGUUGCAAUUUUCCGUCAUGAACGGGGAAUACCUUGUAAGCGCGGGUCAUCAUCCCGCGCUGAAUACGUCCCUGCCCUUUGUACACACCGCCCGUCGCUCCUACCGAUUGAGUGGUCCGGUGAGGCUUUGGGAUCUGAGCGGAAAGAGCGUUUCGCUGUUUCUGCUCGGAAAACUCAGUCGAACCUUAUCAUUUAGAGGAAGGUGAAGUCGUAACA
rnacentral:rRNA from 1 species